UACAGAGGGUGCAAGCGUUUGUUCGGAAUUAUUGGGCGUAAAGGGCGCGUAGGCGGUGCGGUAAGUCUGUAGUGAAAUCUCUGGGCUCAACUCAGAGUCUGCUGCAGAAACUGCCGUGCUUGAGUGUGGGAGAGGUGAGUGGAAUUCCACGUGUAGCGGUGAAAUGCGUAGAGAUGUGGAGGAACACCAGUGGCGAAGGCGGCUUUCUGGUCUGUAACUGACGCUGAGGCGCGAAAGCGUGGGGGAGCGAACAGG
rnacentral:rRNA from 1 species